UACGUAGGGUGCAAGCGUUGUCCGGAAUUAUUGGGCGUAAAGAGCUCGUAGGCGGUUUGUCGCGUCUGCUGUGAAAACGCGAGGCUCAACCUCGCGCCUGCAGUGGGUACGGGCAGACUAGAGUGCGGUAGGGGAGAUUGGAAUUCCUGGUGUAGCGGUGGAAUGCGCAGAUAUCAAGGAGGACACCGAUGGCGAAAGGCAGAUCUCUGGGCCGUAACCUGACGCUGAGGAGCGAAAGCGUGGGGAGCG
rnacentral:rRNA from 1 species